rnacentral:rRNA from 1 species
ACUCAAAUGAAUAGACGGGGGCCCGCACAAGCGGUGGAGCAUGUGGUUUAAUUCGACGCAACGCGAAGAACCUUACCAGGUCUUGACAUCCUCUGAAAAGCCAAGAGAUUGGUGGUUUUGCCUUCGGGCAGACAGGGAGACAGGUGGUGCAUGGUUGUCGUCAGCUCGUGUCGUGAGAUGUUGGGUUAAGUCCCGCAACGAGCGCAACCCUUAUUCUUAGUUGCCAGCAGGUAGAGCUGGGCACUCUAAGGAGACUGCCGGUGACAAACCGGAGGAAGGUGGGGAUGACGUCAAAUCAUCAUGCCCUUUAUGACCUGGGCUACACACGUGCUACAAUGGCCUGUACAAAGGGUAGCGAAGCCGUGAGGCGGAGCCAAUCCCAAAAAGCAGGUCUCAGUUCGGAUUGCAGGCUGCAACUCGCCUGCAUGAAGUCGGAAUCGCUAGUAAUCGCAGGUCAGCAUACUGCGGUGAAUACGUUCCCGGGCCUUGUACACACCGCCCGU